CACUGGAGGCAGCGGUUCAUCGAUCUCUUCCUGGGAAUUUGGUGUGAAAAAUCACAGAACAUGAAUCGAUCGAUAAACCUCUGCAUCCAGC
rnacentral:pre_miRNA from 8 species